CUGAGAAUACUAGAAACUGGAUUCUUCCAUUUGUCUAUAGAAAAGGUAAAAUGUGGGCAAGCAACAAUGAACUCCUCAUCUUGCCAGCAUGCCUCAACCCUGAUCUGAGGGGUGCCACUCUUUGGGUGAAAGGGAAGUUCAUUAACCAUGCUCAUUCAUUUCUUCUUGGUU
rnacentral:sRNA from 1 species